rnacentral:rRNA from 1 species
CCUACGGGAGGCAGCAGUGGGGAAUAUUGGGCAAUGGAGGAAACUCUGACCCAGCGACGCCGCGUGCGGGAUGAAGGCCUUCGGGUUGUAAACCGCUUUCAGUAGGGAAGAAGCGAAAGUGACGGUACCUACAGAAGAAGCACCGGCUAACUAUGUGCCAGCAGCCGCGGUAAUACAUAGGGUGCAAGCGUUGUCCGGAAUUAUUGGGCGUAAAGAGCUCGUAGGUGGUUCGUCACGUCGGAUGUGAAAAUCUGGGGCUCAACCCCAGACCUGCAUUCGAUACGGGCGAUCUAGAGUGUGGUAGGGGAGACUGGAAUUCCUGGUGUAGCGGUGGAAUGCGCAGAUAUCAGGAGGAACACCAAUGGCGAAGGCAGGUCUCUGGGCCAUUACUGACACUGAGGAGCGAAAGCGUGGGGAGCGAACAGGAUUAGAUACCCUGGUAGUCCACGCCGUAAACGGUGGGCACUAGUUGUGGGAACCUUCCACGGUUUCUGCGACGCAGCUACGCAUAAGUAGCCCGCCGUCGGGAGGUACGAGUCGCGAGAAGUUAAACGUACGUAAAGGUAAGUUAGUUACGGCGUGAGACGUGCCGACGGCGACGACGAGGGAGGAGG